CCCUUAGAUGUUCUGGGCCGCACACGCGCUACACUGAAGGAGGCAGCGUGUACUCCUGGAUCGAAAGAUUUGGGUAACCCGCGAAUCUCCUUCGUGCUAGGGAUUGAGGUUUGCAAUUAUCCUUCAUGAACGAGGAAUUCCCAGUAAGUGCAAGUCAUAAGCUUGCGCUGACUACGUCCCUGCCCUUUGUACACACCGCCCGUCGCUACUACCGAUUGAAUGAUUUAGUGAGGACUUCGGACUGGGACCGAUGCGGCUUUCGGGCUGCGUCGGUAUUCUGGAAAGAUGUCCAAACUGUAUCAUUUNGAGGAAGUAAAAGUCGUAACA
rnacentral:rRNA from 1 species